GUGGGGAUUCUUCCGCAAUGGACGAAAGUCUGACGGAGCAACGCCGCGUGAGUGAAGAAGGUUUUCGGAUCGUAAAGCUCUUUCGUUAGGGACGAACGUGCUCUUUGUGAAUAAUGAGGAGUAAUGACGGUACCUAAAUAAGAAGCCACGGCUAACUACGUGCCAGCAGCCGCGGUAAUACGUAGGUGGCAAGCGUUGUCCGGAAUUAUUGGGCGUAAAGCGCGCGCAGGCGGGAUAUCAAGUCUGUCUUAAAAGUGCGAGGCUCAACCUCGUGAGGGGACAGAAACUGGUAUUCUUGAGUGUCGGAGAGGAAAGUGGAAGUCCAAGUGUAGCGGUGAAAUGCGUAGAGAUUUGGAAGAACACCAGUGGCGAAGGCGACUUUCUGGACGAUGUCUGACGCUGAGGCGCGAAAGCUAGGGGAGCGAACGGGAUUAGAUACCCCUGUAGUCC
rnacentral:rRNA from 1 species